rnacentral:rRNA from 1 species
UACGAAGGGGGCUAGCGUUGCUCGGAAUCACUGGGCGUAAAGCGCACGUAGGCGGCUUUUUAAGUCAGGGGUGAAAUCCUGGAGCUCAACUCCAGAACUGCCUUUGAUACUGGGAAGCUUGAGUCCGGGAGAGGUGAGUGGAACUCCGAGUGUAGAGGUGAAAUUCGUAGAUAUUCGGAAGAACACCUAUGGCGAAAGCAGCUCUCUGGGACGGUACUGACGCUGAGACGCGAAAGCGUGGGGAGCGAACAGG